ACCUUCAAGUCUAUGGCUGAACAAGCCUGAUCCCAUCUGAUCUCGGAAGCUGAGCAGGGUCAGGCCUGUUUAGUACUUGGAUGGGAGACCACCUAGGAAGACCAGGUACUGUAGGUG
rnacentral:rRNA from 1 species